rnacentral:misc_RNA from 1 species
UUGAAUACAACUGAUUGAAUUGUUGCUGGCUUUUAAAAGCAUGUGCACAUUCAAUCUACUGUUAACCACCUGUGCACUUUGUGUAGAUUUUGAACAAUCUUCAAGGCUUAAUAAAAAGUACUUGGUUAAAGAAUUUGCUGUGGUUUCUAAGCUUUAGCUUUUCUUGCGUUCAAAUCUAUGUUCUAUUAUUUAACUCCUGUAUCAGAAAGUAAUUCUUGGGCUAUUAUGCCUUUAAUCACAAUA